AUCGAACGCUGGCGGCAGGCUUAACACAUGCAAGUCGAACGAUUGGCGGACGGGUGAGUAAUGUCUGGUAAAUUGCCUGAUCGAGUGUGAUAACUACUGGAUACGGUAGCUAAUUCCUCAUACUAUCGGAUGUGCCCAGAUGGGAUUAGCUAGUAGGUGGGGUGAAGGCUCUCCUAGCCGACGAUCCCUAGCUGGUCUGAGAGGAUGACAGGCGACACUGGAACUUAGAGACGGUCCAGAGGCCUACGGGAGGAAGCAGUGGGGAAUAGUGCACAAUGGGCGCAAGCCUGAUGGAGCCAUGCCGCGUGGAUGAGGAAGGCCUUCGGGUUGUAAAGUACUUUCAGCGGGGAGGCGUUACCCGCAGAAGAAGCGCCGGCUAACUACGUGCCAGCAGCCGCGGUAAUUC
rnacentral:rRNA from 1 species